rnacentral:misc_RNA from 1 species
GAUGAAGAACGUAGCAAAAUGCGAUACUUGGUGUGAAUUGCAGAAUCCCGUGAACCAUCGAGUUUUUGAACGCAAGUUGCGCCCGAAGCCUUUUGGCCGAGGGCACGUCUGCCUGGGCGUCACGCAUCGCGUCGCCCCCCACAAUUCUCCGUAAAAGGAACAUGUGUUUUGGGGGCGGAUAUUGGUCUCCCGUGCUCAUGGCGUGGUUGGCCGAAAUAGGAGUCCUUUCGAUGGACGCACGAACUAGUGGUGGUCGUAAAAGCCCUCGUCUUUUGUUUCGUGCUGUUGCUCGCAAGGUAAACUCUUUAAAAACCCCAAUGUGGCGUCUCUUGACGACGCUUCGACCGCGACCCCAGGUCAGGCGGGACUACCCGCUGAGUUUAAGCAUAUCAAUAAGCGGAGGA